GUGUUUUUAGUUUAAAUUUGGAUAAAACACCAAUCUUCUAAAUUGUAAAUGAAGGUUCAAAUCCUUCAAAACACG
rnacentral:tRNA from 1 species